ACUCAAAGGAAUUGACGGGGGCCCGCACAAGCGGCGGAGCGUGCGGUUUAAUUCGACGCAACGCGCAGAACCUUACCAGGGCUUGACAUGCGCCUGCAGAGCCGGGAAACCGGAUGUCCCUCGAGGGUGGCGCACAGGUGCUGCAUGGCUGUCGUCAGCUCGUGUCGUGAGAUGUUGGGUUAAGUCCCGCAACGAGCGCAACCCCCGUGGCCAGUUGCCGAUGUUUCUGGCCAGACUGCCGGUAGCAAGCCGGAGGAAGGUGGGGAUGACGUCAAGUCAGCAUGGCCCUUACGUCCUGGGCUACACGCACGCUACAAUGGGCGGGACAAUGGGUAGCCAAGCCGCGAGGCGGAGCGAAUCCCCCAAACCCGCCCCCAGUUCGGAUCGUGGGCUGCAACUCGCCCGCGUGAAGUCGGAGUCGCUAGUAACCGCAGGUCAGCACUACUGCGGUGAAUACGUUCCCGGGCCUUGUACACACCGCCCGU
rnacentral:rRNA from 1 species